UACGAAGGGGGCUAGCGUUGCUCGGAAUCACUGGGCGUAAAGCGCACGUAGGCGGAUUUCUAAGUCAGGGGUGAAAUCCUGGAGCUCAACUCCAGAACUGCCUUUGAUACUGGGAAUCUAGAGUCCGGGAGAGGUGAGUGGAACUGCGAGUGUAGAGGUGAAAUUCGUAGAUAUUCGCAAGAACACCAGUGGCGAAGGCGGCUCACUGGCCGUCU
rnacentral:rRNA from 1 species